AUCCUCAUUUAAAUCAUACUAAUUUAUACUCUUCACGUUUCUGUAAUUGAUUCUUUUCUUAAUAUCUAUACAAUAACAGGACUAGAUCCAUCCUUAUUUAUCUAAUUCAUUCAUAUAACAUCAAAAGACGAAAUACCACUAGAUUUAAUUCUUAUUUAUACCAUAUUAAACCAUAAGAUGCCACAAUCCACACAAUAUCCAUCACUAAGUACAUAAAGAUUAGAGUACUUUAUCUCUUACUAAAAAUCACAAUUUACUUUUCUUAUAACCACAAUAAUUUAUAUUAUUUCCUAUAUUCACACACCAAAAGAAAUAGUUGCAGAAUACAACAAUACACUUUACUCUACCAAGCAAUCAUUACUCAUAAAUAAAACUCACUUCAUAUAGUA
rnacentral:lncRNA from 1 species